GUAGAUAUAGUUUAAACAAAACACUAGAUUGUGAAUCCAGUAAUAGAAGCUCAAACCCUCUUAUCUACC
rnacentral:tRNA from 1 species